GCGGUGGCCCGGUUCGCCCGUGGCCACUCCGGACGAGUGGUGGGCGUACCCGGUCAGGCCAAGACGCCCCGUG
rnacentral:ncRNA from 1 species